rnacentral:rRNA from 1 species
CCAAUAGCGUAUAUUAAAGUUGUUGCAGUUAAAAAGCUCGUAGUUGAAUUUCGGGGUCAGUAGGUCGGUCGUGCCACUGGUAUGAACUGGUUUUACUGAUUCCUCCCUCUUGAAGAACUGUAAUGCCAUUAAUUUGGUGUUGCAGGGAAUCAGGACUGUUACUUUGAAAAAAUUAGAGUGUUUAAAGCAGGCUUUAGCUUGAAUACAUUAGCAUGGAAUAAUGAAAUAGGACGUUUGAUCCUAUUUUGUUGGUUUCUAGGAUUGACGUAAUGAUUAAUAGGGAUAGUUGGGGGCAUUAGUAUUCAAUUGUCAGGGGUGAAAUUCUUUGAUUUAUUGAAGACUAAAUACUGCGAAAGCAUUUGCCAAGGAUGUUUUCAUUAAUCAAGAACGAAAGUUAGGGGAUCGAAGACGAUCAGAUACCGUCGUAGUCUUAACCAUAAACUAUACCGACUAGGGAUCGGAUGAUGUUAAUUUUUUAAUGACUCAUUCGGCGCCUUAC